CGGAUCCCAAGACUUACGGUCUCCGUCCCCGAUUAUGGCUCCUGCUUCCGGUCGAUAUUUCUGUUCUAUUUUAUUACCUUUAUUGAAAAUUAUCUUUGGAAGAGUUCGAUCAGUGCAUAUUCACAGCAAGGAAACAAGCGUUUAAGUUAGUCGAAAUCUUUUUUGUCCAAUUAUUUAGCCAAUCAAGAUAUGCUAUCCUUUCCCGGUGCGCUCGCCCAGGCGCUGCCCGAGGGCAAAGAGGGACCAUUGAACCGGCCUGGCCAGGUAAUGGUAAGUGAACCAGAAACAGCGAACGCCUUAUGUCAGUCUUGCCAACCAAGAAGAAUUGUUUUUAGUGUGUUGGUGGUGGUGCGGAUGCAAUGGCCAGGUGUGAGGGAGGAUGGUAGCGAUAUCACGCAAGGUUUUUCAAGAAGCGUUGUGUGACAAAUUGUGUACAUUUACAUGACAAUGACACCCGCUGUCCCGUGAACAUUGCAGUGAACCUACUCUCGAUAAUUUUUUUUUCUUCCAGGUUUAUUUGUCGUCACCUGAGCGACAUCUGAGCACAAGAUUCUACGUGUAAGCAAAGAACGCAAACAUACAUGAUUUAUCAGUGCUUAUACCGGUGAACUAUAUCAGUAUUUUGUCUUGAACGAUCGGCAGGUGUUGAACUGUUCCCAAUAUAUUGACAGAGCUGAGUCUCAAGUUGAUUAUUCUCUAAGUUCCACCAGUCAGACAUUACCAUGAGCUUUUCCUGACCAAUAUAUAUAUGGCCAGUCCAGGAAACAAGGAGCUUUCUGUCUCACAGUCUGAAAGUGAAGUGGUGACUGAGGAAGAGGUUGCUCUCAUGACAUCUGGAAGAGAUAACUUGACAGUAGAUCAGGGGAAUAACUUCUUAGACACUGGCUCAGUAUGUAUCAAUUUACGAGAUGAAGAGGAUGAUUUCUUUGAUGGCAGCAGCAUCACUUGUACCUAUGAUACUCAAGAUGGUGUAGCUCACAAGAAAGGAGUGUUUCUUCCUGGACUGAAGGUUAUUGCAACCAUUACUGAUGUGGAACGUGCACCAAGAACACAUCCAUUCAAUCCUAACUUAUACACCAUUAAGCUAAGUCAUGGCAGUUUUACUUGGGUGAUCAGGCGUCGUUAUAAGCACUUCUUAAAACUUGAUGCAGAGCUAUUCCUUCACAAAGUAAAUGUGCAUCGGCACACCAUAAGAGGGGAGCAUAGAGGAGAGCAUCACGCUCGCCUGCCAAGUCGUCACUUGCCCAAGCGACCUGACAUGUUUACAACAACAAUCAACAUGGACAAGAGAAUAAAGUCUCUGGAAAAAUACCUGCAAGUGAUUCUUGACAGCCCAAACUAUCGUAAUCACAAAGAGACACUGAACUUUUUGGAGGUCAGCCAUCUAUCCUUUCAUUUUGAUUUGGGAGAGAAAGGAAGGGAAGGUAUCCUGAGAAAGCGAGCAGGAGGUCAUCGGUUUCCAGCAGGUUGCUGCAGUUGUUGUGCAGGACUUUCUUGGGGAAUUUGGGACAAAAGGUGGCUGUUGGUGAAAGAUAGUUUUAUUGCUUAUGUCAGCCCCAAGGAUAAACAAGUCAGAGGUGUGGUGUUGAUGGACAAAGAAUUCACCUUCAAGUAUGGAAGGAAACAAACAGGAGUGCGACGAGGCUUGCUGAUUCACAACCAGGCAAGGCAACUGCUUUUAUCAUGCUGGACUGAAAGGAAGGCAAGUGAAUGGAUGAAAGCAAUUGUUAACAUUAUGGCAACAACAGGGGCAGACUGGAUAAAAGAACAUCCUCACGGUUCAUAUGCCCCUGUCAGGGAAAACACUUUUGCUCAGUGGUUUGUAGACGGAGAGUCAUACUUUGAUGCUCUGGCAGAUGCUUUGGAGUCUGCAGAAGAAGAAAUCUUCAUCACUGGCUGGUGGGUCAGUCCUGAGAUCUAUCUUCGCCGACCGGUCACUGCUGGCCAUGAGUGGAGACUGGACAACAUCUUAAAGAGAAAAGCGGAGGAGGGAGUGAAAGUUUAUGUUUUGAUUUACAAGGAGGUGGAGCUGGCCCUGACACUGAAUAGUGCGUACACUAAAACAACGUUGAUGAGUUUACACCCAAAUAUAAAGGUUUUGCGCCACCCAGACCACCUCCCUGGGUCGGGUGUCAUAUAUUGGGCUCAUCAUGAAAAGGUAGUGGCUGUGGACCAGAAGAUAGCUUUUAUUGGAGGUCUUGAUCUUUGUUUUGGUCGCUGGGACAACUCUUUACAUCGACUUACCGACUUUGGAUCCGCGAUUCGGCCUCCACCCAUAAACAAAACGGAGCAAGAGAUCAGGAAAAUUGGCGCGAUGAUUGUAGAAGGAACACUUGAACAAUUAAAUUUGCCGGUUUGUCCAGACUUCAAAGACGGAGUAACAGUUGAGCUGGAACCAGGAACAUCUGGAGGAAGUAAAAUGUGGCUUGGAAAGGACUAUUCCAAUCCAAUAACCAGGGAUUUCUUUGACGUCCACAAACCUUAUGAAGACUCUGUUGACAGAGGUUCUGUUCCUCGAAUGCCGUGGCAUGAUGUUGGCAUGCGAAUGUUUGGCGCACCAGCGAGAGACGUUGCAAGGCAUUUCAUUCUUAGAUGGAAUGCUACCAAGAUUGAAAAAGUCAAAAUAAUUCCCGACAUACCUUACCUGCUGCCGAAGUCAUACGCAAAACUUACAAACAAGAGACCAGCGGCAGCAGACAGUGCUAACAUGGUGGAUUGUCAAAUUCUCCGUUCUCUAUCUACGUGGUCAGGCGGUGUCCCCACAGAAAGCUCCAUUCACGAGGCCUAUAUUCAGGCUAUUGAAGAAUCUAAGCACUUCAUUUACAUCGAGAACCAAUUCUUCAUUUCUUCUCUGUUCAUCGACAACAUCAAGAAUGAGAUCGGUCAGAAUCUACUCUGGCGAAUAGAGAGGGCGCACAGAGAAGGUGAAAAGUUUAAAGUUAUUGUCGUCAUGCCGCUGCUUCCAGCAUUUGAAGGCGAAAUUGGCACAGCCAGUGGUCGAUCAAUUGGUGCUAUUACUCACUGGAAUUGCAGAUCAAUUUGCCGAGCAUCUCAUUCGCUGCUACAGAGAUUGGCCGAACUUGUUGGUGACCCCUCCAAGUAUAUUUCAUUCUAUGGACUGAGGACUCAUUCGGAAAUACACGGAACGCCCGCAACAGAGUUAGUUUAUGUUCAUAGCAAGAUGAUGAUUGUCGACGACAACAUCGUAAUCAUUGGUUCAGCCAACAUCAAUGACCGCAGCAUGCUGGGAAAGAGGGAUUCAGAAAUAGCUGCUAUUAUAAAGGACAGAGAAUUUGUACCGUCAGUUAUGGACGGUAAGGAGUACCAAGCUGGCCAGUUCGCCUUCAAUCUGAGAUCACGGCUCUUCAGAGAACAUCUUGGUACAUUGGAUUGUCCUUCAGAUGAAGACAUAAGGGAUGUUGUUUCAGACAGUUUUUAUGAGAAAUUGUACUCUAGGCACAGGAGUUUGGAAGAUUUGUUUUGUUUCUGAAAACAGGAUGUUUGGAUGGCCACAGCAAAGAAAAACACAGAAAUUUACGAGGAGGUGUUCCACUGCAUUCCAACUGAUACUGUACGCUCGUUAAGCG
rnacentral:misc_RNA from 1 species